ensembl:lncRNA
AUUUGGAGAAAUUUAGCAUUACGUCACUUACUCACCAAUGGGUCCUCUGCAGUGAAUGGGUGCCGUCAGAAUGAGAGUCCAAACAGCUGAUAAAAACAUCACAAUAAUCCACAAGUAAUCCACACCACUCCAGUCCAUCAGAAACAAAUGCAUAAUCCAUAAACCAGCUUUAUUAAUAAUAUUAUUAUGUUUUUAUCAGCUGUUUGAACUCUCAUUCUGACGGCAUCCAUUCACUGCAGAGGAUCCACUGGUCCAUUAGUCCAUUCUCCAAUUCUGUUCCCAAGAAGAAUUUGGACUCUCAUUCUGACGGCACCCAUUCACUGCAGAGGAUCCAUUGCUGAGCAAGUGAUGUAAUGCUACAUUUCCCCAAAUCUGAUGAAGAAACAAACUCUUCUAAAUCUUGGAUGACCUAAGGAGUCUGACUUUGAGCAAAAAUGCUACAUGCUGCGUGAAUCUGUUGCAACAUCAUAAGAGCAUUGACUUUGACUUCACAUCAGAGCAGUGAACACCAGUGUCCAGACGUUCCUUUGAGCCCCGGAUUAAUUUCCAUCAUACUCAGCCGCAUGGAGAAGGUGCCCCAGCUGAGGAACAGAUGACUCGCGCUCUUAACAGGUGCUCAGACACUCAGCAGGCCUCAUGCUUCGGGGGAUCAAAGCGCGGCUGCAGAAACUGCAAGCCCCUGUAAUUGCGUACAAUGAGCUGGCGAGUCGGCCGGUCCAGGUGCUAUUUGAACAGGUGUAUUUGCAUGUCACAAUACAGAUGGCAUAGGCCUUCAUGGCCUUGAUCACGAUUCGAGCACAAUUUAC